rnacentral:misc_RNA from 1 species
AGUUUUAACUCGGUGAUAUUAGAGUCAUUUUUAAAAUUAUAAGAUAAAAAGGAACAGAGGUAAUUAUUUUGCUUCAAAAGCUCAUAGAAAAUCAAAAGAAAAAGAAAAGCUCACUAAGUCCAAGAAAAAUCCAAAGACAAAUGAAUCACCAAUCUAGGGUAGGCAUGUGUUUCUUCACAUCCACACAAAUGGUGAGCAAAUAGAUUAAAGAAAGAGCACAUAAUGUGAAUGGAAGGAAACAAUAUGUUGACAUAUUGAAAGCUCUCUAAAGUCAAAACAAAUGAUGUAUACGAGGAUCAUUUCCCUGAUUUUACCCAAAUCAUGGCUGUUCACACCAAAAUAAUAACAAUAAAAAAAGAGAGGCAACAAAAAGAAGAAAAGAUGGAUGUAUGCUGUUUAUUAUGGUCCAAGGUGUAAAGGCUCGUGUUAUUUGGAUUUUAGCAUGUUUUGAGAAAUUCAUUCUUGAAAACAUCUAGUGCUAAUAUUAUUAGUUCAAUACUUACUAGAAGGAUAGUGCUCCAUAGAGCUUGUGAGGAACUUACUAGAAAAGAUUUAACAAAUGGGCUCUCUACCUAGCUUAAAAAUAAUUAUUGCCAACAUUGAAUGAAAGUAAAAAAUUCAAAAUGACUAGUCAUACGAGAUGCAAACAAAUGUCUAGACUGAGUUUGAUUAGGCAGCAAGUGCUGCUAAAAUUAUAAGAAGGAAGAGUUUUGCAUAGAGAGGUAAAGUACCUCUAAACCCAUGGGUAACUAAAGUGGGGACAUUGAUUAUGCAUAAACAUCUUGUUGAACCACAUAAUUUUUACAUCUCUUUUCUUUUUUUCAUUCGAUUUAGCUCCUUUAUCUAUAUAAGCUAUAUGCAAACACUAGUUUACUAAAUUUGCUUCUUACGUCAAUAAGAAUUCAGCAGAAAAAAAAAAUCUUUGUAUUAUAUACGUAUGCAUUACACAAUGACACCAACAUUAAUUUCUCUUACGUAUCCAAGAGAUCCUGAGUGAGCAAUCAAAGGAAUAUAUCAAAGGUUUCUCUAUCUUUAGAAUGAAACGAGCACACAAGUGUGAUGUAAAUAUGGUUUAUAUGUUAUAAUAGUGAUUUUUGAUAGAAUCAUUAGCAAUGGGAGAGUGAGUGUUAACUUUGUGUACCUGUCUUGGCUUUGUUGUUUUCACACCUCUUUCCAAGUUUUUUCACUUAGCAUUCCAUGUCUUAGUUUGAGUUUGUUCGGAUGAAUUUAUCAUGCUUAGUUUUUCCUAACUAAUGAAUGACAAUAAUUAGUUGCAUAGUUAUUAAAGGCUCAAGUCGCAUUAAAGCUCCAAGGGAUCUUGAGCCUAAGCGCAAGACACAGGCACGCACUUGAGCAAAGUGAAAAGCAA